GUAAGGAGUUUUCGGCAAUGGGGGGAACCCUGACCGAGCAACGCCGCGUGAGUGAUGACGGCCCUAUGGGUUGUAAAGCUCUGUUAUAAGGGACGAACAGCUUUGCUAGGAAAUGAGCAGAGUCUGACGGUACUUUAUCAGAAAGCCACGGCUAACUACGUGCCAGCAGCCGCGGUAAUACGUAGGUGGCAAGCGUUAUCCGGAAUUAUUGGGCGUAAAGAGUGAGCAGGCGGCAGAUUAAGUUUGAGGUUAAAGCGUGGGGCUCAACCCCAUAAAGCCUUGAAAACUGAUCAGCUAGAGUACGAGAGAUGUGAAGGGAACUCCAUGUGUAGCGGUGAAAUGCGUAGAUAUAUGGAAGAACACCAGUGGCGAAGGCGCUUCACACGCUCGAAACUGACGCUCAGUCACGAAAGCGUGGGUAGCAAAUAGGAUUAGAAACCCCAGUAGUCC
rnacentral:rRNA from 1 species